UACGAAGGGGACUAGCGUUGUUCGGAAUUACUGGGCGUAAAGCGCACGUAGGCGGAUUUGUAAGUCAGGGGUGAAAUCCCGGGGCUCAACCUCGGAACUGCCUUUGAUACUGCAAAUCUCGAGUCCGAUAGAGGUGGGUGGAAUUCCUAGUGUAGAGGUGAAAUUCGUAGAUAUCGGGAGGAACAUCAGUGGCGAAGGCGGCCUUCUGGUCCAGUACUGACACUCAAG
rnacentral:rRNA from 1 species